ensembl:snRNA U2 U2 spliceosomal RNA
AUCACUUCUCUGCCUUUUGGCUAAGAUCAAGUGUAGUAAAAGCAUAGUUUCCAAAGUCAGGUUAUGGGUUUGAAUUUUGAUGCCACUAGAAGCACAAAUCUUAGUCAUAAUACCAAAGUCACUGUGCCUCGAUUUCCUCAUU